rnacentral:rRNA from 1 species
CAGCAGCCGCGGUAAUACGAAGGGUGCAAGCGUUAAUCGGAAUUACUGGGCGUAAAGCGUGCGUAGGCGGUUUGUUAAGUCUGCUGUGAAAUCCCCGGGCUCAACCUGGGAAUGGCAGUGGAUACUGGCAAGCUAGAGUGUGUCAGAGGAUGGUGGAAUUCCCGGUGUAGCGGUGAAAUGCGUAGAGAUCGGGAGGAACAUCAGUGGCGAAGGCGGCAUCUGGGACAACACUGACGCUGAGGCACGAAAGCGUGGGGAGCAAACAGGAUUAGAGACCCCUGUAGUCCCUGUCUCUUAUACA